CUUUCCUCCCUUUCUUACUUUCAUUCAACAACAACAACAAAAAAAAACAAACAAAAAAAAGGCCCCGGGUUCGGAAGCUGCAAGAUUCUUGAGAAUGAGGAGGAAGGCGGUUUACUAUGGGCAUCGAUGGAGGAUCUUGAAAGUUUAAAUGAAAGAGUAACAGUGCAGAGCAGAGAGGAAGAUGGGGAAAGCGAUUUUAAAUGCCUUACUCUUUCCCGGAGGGUUUCCCUGAAGGCUUGCUUUUCGUUGGCCCUUCUGUGGUUUCUAACGGAGACUAAAGGGUCAGAGCCACGAACUCUGAUUUACACGUCCAAGUGAGAAAGCUGCAAACAGUGCCAGCCGUCCAUCCUCUGGAAAGCACUUGAACAAGCCUGUGAAGCCUUCAUUUCAGGGACACAUGAAGACCAAGGCCGUCUGCAAGCCAGGAGGAGAACUCUCCUCAGAACCCGACCACCUGUGGCAUUCUGAUCUG